rnacentral:rRNA from 1 species
UACGUAGGGGGCAAGCGUUGUCCGGAUUUAUUGGGCGUAAAGAGCGUGUAGGCGGCUUGGUAGGUCUUGCGUCAAAACCUGAGGCUCAACCUCAGUUCGCGUGGGAAACCAUCUAGCUAGAGUCCGGAAGAGGAGAACGGAAUUCCCAGUGUAGCGGUGAAAUGCGCAGAUAUCAGGAGGAACACCUGCGGUGUAGACGGCUUUCUGGACCAUUACUGACACUGAGACACGAAAGCGUGGGUAGCAAACAGG